GACGAACGCUGGCGGCGUGCCUAAUACAUGCAAGUGGGACGCAAGGAAACACACUGUGCUUGCACACCGUGUUUUCUUGAGUCGCGAACGGGUGAGUAACGCGUAGGUAACCUGCCUAUUAGCGGGGGAUAACUAUUGGAAACGAUAGCUAAUACCGCAUAAUAUUAAUUAUUGCAUGAUAAUUGAUUGAAAGAUGCAAGCGCAUCACUAGUAGAUGGACCUGCGUUGUAUUAGCUAGUUGGUAAGGUAAGAGCUUACCAAGGCGACGAUACAUAGCCGACCUGAGAGGGUGAUCGGCCACCCUGGGACUGAGACACGGCCCAGACUCCUACGGGAGGCAGCAGUAGGGAAUCUUCGGCAAUGGACGAAAGUCUGACCGAGCAACGCCGCGUGAGUGAAGAAGGUUUUCGGAUCGUAAAGCUCUGUUGUAAGUCAAGAACGUGUGUGAGAGUGGAAAGUUCACACAGUGACGGUAGCUUACCAGAAAGGGACGGCUAACUACGUG
rnacentral:rRNA from 1 species